CUAAUAAGACUAAGACUGUUAUGUUAUUGAACAUGACAAAAGUACAAAUACUGACAUACUAAUAUUUACCGAUAAAAAAAGUAUGACAAAGGUAGCAGAACUUGCAGGUAGAGCAAUCGAAUAGCUUAAACAACCACUCGUUAAACAGAGUAGUCAUAAAGACUAAACAAUAACAAAUUAUGAAGAUGGUUGAAUUAAAAAGACCCAAUUAACUGCAGUGUUCCAUCUACAUGUACGCUCCAGAUAUCAAGUUAUAAAAUAAGUAUCAUCAUAAUGUUAUUACAGCGCUACAAAAACAUUAAUUUAGUCCCACAUCGACAAUAAAAAGCAUAUGCGAAUGGUUUAUAUAAGUGAAAUGGGAAGGGAAAGGAUACGACCUUACUUGAACAGGAUCUGUUCUAUAGGCUCGUACCAUUGUGUCCUUGAGUUCUAAGGAGACAAGAACCUAAGCCUGGUUGAUGAAUCAUGACCGUGUAAUCAGAGCGUGAUUAAUGGCUUUGAUGGUCUCUCUUCCGAGAGUGUCAUAUCUGGCAAUAGAGGAUCGUUCUCAGACAGUGUUUGACACCGGCUGGGAUGGUUACACGGUUGUCUGACAGGCUCGAAACAUUUUGUUUAUUUUUCAUCCUACAAAACAGUGAAGUGUGGGAGCAAAGUAGAGGAGGGUUUUAGUGUUCAGCAAUUGCUACUUGAGGCAGAGGACUUGCCACGUAGCAAAAGGAAAACCGAAUAGACUCCUCAACAAAGAUUUGUGUGUUGGGGAUGUAGCUCAGAUGGUAGAGCGCUCGCUUAGCAUGCGAGAGGUACGGGGAUCGAUACCCCGCAUCUCCAUC